rnacentral:rRNA from 1 species
GACGAACGCUGGCGGCGUGCCUAAUACAUGCAAGUUGAGCGCUGAAGGUUGGUACUUGUCCCUAUUGGCUGAGCAGCGAACGGGUGAGUAACGCGUGGGGAAUCUGCCUUUGAGCGUGGGACAACAUCUGGAAACGAAUGCUAAUACCGCAUAAAAACUUUAAACACAAGUUUUAAGUUUGAAAGAUGCAAUUGCAUCACUCAAAGAUGAUCCCACGUUGUAUUAGCUAGUUGGUGAGGUAAAGGCUCACCAAGGCGAUGAUACAUAGCCGACCUGAGAGGGUGAUCGGCCACAUAUGGAACGCGACCCGGCCCAAGAUCCUACGGGAGGCAACAGUAAGGAAGCUUCGGCAAUGGGCGAAAGUCUGACCGGGCAACGGCGGCGGAGUGAAGAAGGUUUUCCGAUCGGAAAACUUAGUUGGUAAGGAAGAACGUUAUUGAGAGGUGAAAAUUCAUCAAGUGACGGUAACUACACAGAAAGCGACGGCUAACUACGUG